rfam:Ovis aries breed Texel chromosome 10, whole genome shotgun sequence.
UCCCUGGCGGUCCGGUGGCUAAGACUCUGGGCUCCUAAUACAGGGGUUCCAGGUUCAAUCCCUGGUCAGGGAA